rnacentral:rRNA from 1 species
GCAUAUCAAUAAGCGGAGGAAAAGAAACCAACAGGGAUUGCCCUAGUAACGGCGAGUGAAGCGGCAACAGCUCAAAUUUGAAAUCUGGCUCUUUCAGAGUCCGAGUUGUAAUUUGCAGAGGGCGCUUUGGCUUUGGCAGCGGUCCAAGUUCCUUGGAACAGGACGUCACAGAGGGUGAGAAUCCCGUACGUGGUCGCUAGCUAUUGCCGUGUAAAGCCCCUUCGACGAGUCGAGUUGUUUGGGAAUGCAGCUCUAAAUGGGAGGUAAAUUUCUUCUAAAGCUAAAUAUUGGCCAGAGACCGAUAGCGCACAAGUAGAGUGAUCGAAAGAUGAAAAGCACUUUGGAAAGAGAGUCAAACAGCACGUGAAAUUGUUGAAAGGGAAGCGCUUGCAGCCAGACUUGCUUGCAGUUGCUCAUCCGGGCUUUUGCCCGGUGCACUCUUCUGUAGGCAGGCCAGCAUCAGUUUGGGCGGUGGGAUAAAGGUCUCUGUCACGUACCUCUCUUCGGGGAGGCCUUAUAGGGGAGACGACAUACCACCAGCCUAGACUGAGGUCCGCGCAUCUGCUAGGAUGCUGGCGUAAUGGCUGUAAGCGGCCCGUC